ensembl:lncRNA
CUGAAGGAGGACUAUCUGGAUGGGGGACAGUGGAUCUGUGUGUGAUUGGAGCAUAUCUGGGGAAGGGCAAGAGAACAGGGACCUACGAAGGAUUCCUGCUCGCCCCCUACGAUGAGGACUAUGAAUAGUUCCACUCAGUCUGCAAGGUCUGUCUGUGUGUGUGUCAGGGGUGUCUUUGUAUGUCUGCGUAUGUCUGCUUAUGUCUGUGUGUACCUCCUUGCCUAGGAGGUGACUUUUUGUCUUUCUCUGUCUCGGUUGGUUUGUCUCUCUGAAAGGUGAGAGUGCCUCAGUCCAAACAGGAUAAAGAUUGGGACAGGUUUCAAGGAUGAAGAUUUGGAGCAACAGUACAAAUUCUUCAAGGAGCACAUUUUGCCCAAGCCCCACCCCUAGCAUCGUGUGGACCUAUCAACAGAGCCUGAUGUGUGGCUUGAUGCCGUGCAAGUAUGGGAAGUGAAGUGUGCAGACCUAUCGCUGUCGCCAAUCUACAAGGCUGGCAUGGGAUUGUGUGACCCAGAGAAGGGCAUCUCUCUUCGGUUCCCACGCUUCCUGAGGAUCCGAGAUGAUAAAAAGCCAGAGGAUGCAACUUCAGGAAGACAGGUAGUUGAUUACACUGCUGUGACAGUGUAUCUCGUAGUUCCGAAUUUCUCUGGUUGCAUUCCCAAAUGUUUUUCUAUGCAGGUUGUCCAAUCAAAAACGGGUAUUUUGACAAAUGGGUCAACUCAAUGGUUCAAACCUCAUUCCCCUAUCAUAAUCAAUUCAAAAGUUAUUGGAGUUUUUACCCUUGUAGAAUGGCCAAAAUUAGGGUGAGUAAAUCAAAAUAAUUGCACAGCAUCUGCUUCUUUUCUUUCAUUCUAGAUCUAUGCUUCCCUCCUCUGUGUUUCAGCUUCUCCCACAUAUAUACACACAGUACAUUUUAUUCCACCAAUUUUGAUAUUCUGUGUUUAUCCCCCUGUAAUUUGAUAUAAAUUGGCCCUCGUACCAUCAUGGCCACCUUAUCCUCAGCUUCCAAUUGGCUCAUUCAUCCCCUCUCCCCCUCACUGAUUUCUUUGUUCUGUCCCAUUUCAGAUUGCUGAUUUGUACAGAAUCAGGGAGACAAAGCUGACCUUGAGGACUACUACUGACCUCAUCAACGGACCGGCCAGUCGCCAAUGACUCGGGUGAAAUCUCAAUUUGUACAUAUAUAAAAUAAAUGGUAUGGUAAACUUGAACAAGGCUCUGUCGAUGCAAUUAAAAAUUUAAAAAAAAAACAUAUAUUUUAUAUUUUUUAACUCUGCACAGCAGUGUCUAUAUCCAGGUGCUGGUUUAGGCUCUGCCAAUGUCAUUAUAAUCAACAUUUUGUGUGUGUUGGUGUUGAGCCUAAUGCUCAUUUUUGUAAACGUAUACUUAACAGUAUAAAUAAAAUAUGUCUUCCCCAGUUUUCAAUGACACAAAUAAAUCACACUAAUGACAAUGUGAAUAAAGGCUUUGCUAAUUUUAUAAUAUCAAACAUAUUGGGUGUUGAUUUUAUCCUGUCCUAAGCUUAAUUUUACCGAUUGAUAGUGUUGGUUUCCCAGACACAGUUUAAGCCUAGCCCUGGACUAAAAAACACUUAUGCUUUUUAAUCCUGUUCUAAAUUUCAUCUGUGUUCAGGAAACCGUCCGAUACAGUAUUGAGAACACCAAGACAUUGAAGACCUUCAUCUUCGGUAUUCACUUGUAAUGCAUAUCUCAGUAACACUACCUGAAACAUGCAGGUAUGCUUUAAAACUUGUUCUAAGCAUGUAUGAGCCAUUAUCCUUUUGUCUUAAGGUUUAUCAUUCAUGCAGUGAGUGAAAUGAAGAUCCCUUUAUGGUGUCCUAUGAGCCACCUGGUGCAAUAAGGAUGAGGUGCUGAGAAGAGUUGAAUAACACAUACAUAAUCCUAGCAGUACGCAGAGACUUGAAUACUGUCGAGAAGUCAACAAAGCUCUAACUUCCCCCUAAGUACCUCUCAUUCUUACAGCUUCAGUCCAGUAUGGUGUGCAUCCCAAAUGGCUGCCUAUUUUUGUCAUAGUGCACUACUAUAGUGAAUAGGGGGCCCAUUUAGGAUGCCCCCAACCAACGUCAGAAUGUAAGGAUAAAUGCCCUUCUGUUUUUCCCCAUCACAAAUAGUGUAAAGUCCUUAAGUAGUGUAGUUUAAAGUAUUUUUACUUUUACAUUUUUUGGGGGGGAUCUUUACUAUUAAUAUUUUUGACUACUUUUACUUCACUACAUUCCUCAAGAAAAAAAAAAACUUUUUACUCCAUACAGUUUCCCUGACAACCAAAAGUACUCAUUUACAUUUUGAAUGGGUAGCAGGACAGGAAAACUGCAAAAUUCAUGCACUUACUCUAUCAAGAGAACAUCCCUGGUCAUCCCUAUUGCCUCUGAUCUGGCGGACUCACUAAAUGUGUUGGGAGUGUGCCCCUGGCUAUCUGUAAAUAACAAGAAAAUGGUGCCUUCUGGUUUGCUUAACAUAAGUCAUUUGAAAUAUUUGUACUUUUACUUUCAAUACUUAAGUAUAUUUUGCCAAUUACAUUUACUUUAGAUACUUAAGUAUAUUUAAAACCAAACCCUUUUAGACUUACUCAAGUAGUAAUUCACUGGGUAACUCACUUUUACUUGAGUCAUUUUCUAUUAAGGUAUCUUUACUUUUAUUCAAGUAUGACAAGUGGGUGCUUUUCCACCACUGCUGCUCGCAUUGAUUGUGUCCUUGGAACUGAAGAGGUUAAUUCUAGUCUACCCAAUAGGCCUUACAAAAAUAUCCCGACUCUAGGUUACAAAUAUUGACAAUUCCUCUCUUACAAAUAUUACAGUACACUACAGUGUGUAACAGUACACUGUGACAUCUCAACAGUUCACCAGAGUCAAAUUAACACUCCCACACAAAACAAGAUUCCCUGCAGAAACAUUGCAACGAGACAUGCGAUUUCUUUAAGACGUGUUAUUAUGCAGAAUAUCAGUGUAACGUUUCUAAAUGUACGGUGUAUGUGCAGAAGAACAAGGACGAAGCAAGGAGAGCGUCUGGUACAUUAUAAAAUGCAAACGGGUUGACAGCUCAAGGAGCAGUGCAAAACAGAUGCAUUUCCCAGCCUGCAUUAGAUGAUGAAACUCCACAAGUCAGUAGACGGAAUCAAGAAUCAAUCCACUACAAGAAGACUCAGGCCAGAGAAGAGAGUCAAGGACACAUGGUCAUUAUAGGAAGUAAAGAGGAUUGUAGCGUUCUGGGAAGCUAGUUAGAUGCCAUACAUGGUGUUUGUGUCUGAAAUGCCACCCAAUUCCUUACAUAGUGCACUACUUUUGUCCAGAGCACAUCUGGUCAUAAGUAGUGCACUAUGCAGGGAAUAGGGUGCCAUUUGGGCCACACACCCAGAAUGAAUGUUGUGGAAGUGAGUGGGCUGUGAUGUGACCUGUGCUUGAGCUUCAGUGUCUGCUUCUGCAAGGGAGGAGGGGGAGGAGAAGGGCUGCAUUGUGCCAGCCUGGGCAUGGAAAUGUAGAUUUUGUUGCCCUUUCCCAUCUGUUUAUGUCAUUGUGUUUUCUCUCUCUGCCUCUACUCAUCUCCACAACUUUCCCUUUUUCUUUCUUUCUCUCCCCCUCUCCUUCUCUUUCUCUGCAUGUCUCAACAUGUGGCUUCCUUUCCUAUCUAGCUCAAUUUUGAAUAAAUGGCAGAUUUAGAUUUUAUGCUUAUUAUUUUUCAUCAUUAAUUAAUACCUGAAGCAAGGAAGAAGCAGUUAAUGUUUGCAUGGUGGAAUAUUAGCUAUUUAUAUUAUAAUAUUAGUCUCUGCCCCUGUUGGUGUUGCUUCUGAUAAUUAAAAAUAAUACCUGAAACUAGGAAGUAGCUGAAUGUUUGCACAGUAGAAUAUGAGCUGAAGACUUCUCUGCUCCUGUGUUGUUUCAGUGCAGCAGCAGUGUGUUGUGUUGUGGUGUUGCAGACUGAGGGGAGGAGUGG